rnacentral:misc_RNA from 1 species
UCACUGCUUGCGCAGGCAGUCUCUUUAGAGUCCCCACCGUUAUGUGCUGGCAACUAAAGAUAGGGGUUGCGCUCGUUGCGUGACUUAACCCAACAUCUCACGACACGAGCUGACGACAACCAUGCACCACCUGUAUACCGCCCUUGCGGACCCCGUAUCUCUACGAGUUUUCGGUAUAUGUCAAGCCUUGGUAAGGUUCUUCGCGUUGCGUCGAAUUAAGCCACAUGCUCCGCCGCUUGUGCGGGCCCCCGUCAAUUCCUUUGAGUUUUAGCCUUGCGGCCGUACUCCCCAGGCGGGGCACUUAAUGCGUUAGCUACGGCACGGAACCCGUUGAUAAGGCCCCACACCUAGUGCCCAACGUUUACGGCGUGGACUAC